rnacentral:rRNA from 1 species
UACAGAGGGGGCAAGCGUUGUUCGGAAUUACUGGGCGUAAAGGGCGCGUAGGCGGCCUGUUAAGUCGGACGUGAAAUCCCCGGGCUCAACCCGGGAACUGCGUCCGAUACUGGCAGGCUUGAAUUCGGGAGAGGGAUGCGGAAUUCCAGGUGUAGCGGUGAAAUGCGUAGAUAUCUGGAGGAACACCGGUGGCGAAGGCGGGUCUCUGGGCCAUUACUGACGCUGAGGAGCGAAAGCGUGGGGAGCGAACAGG